rnacentral:lncRNA from 1 species
CUGGGCACAGCACUAUUCAUUUCCUCUGAUAUGCUACUUCUUAGAGGUCAUGGUUAGAGACAGCAUGCCAGGAAAUUACUUCUGGAAAACUUAGGGAGUGCUGUCUGUAAGGACCUGAAAGAGCUGCCAGACCUUCUCUGUAAGAAAACCAAGUGCAAGUGUCAGAAACCUCUUGAAGAUUGAUUCACACCUGGCAGACGCUCAGUCCUGAAGGAACGAUUGCUCUCUCUCACAGGGUUUCAUUUGG